UGAGUACUUUCUCCGUCCGAAAAUACUUGUCAUCAAAAUAAAUAAAAAUGGGUGUAUCUAAAACUAAAAUAUGUCUAGAUACAUCUUUUUUCAUCCAUUUUGAUGACAAAUAUUUGUGGACGGAGGGAGUAGUAC
rfam:Triticum aestivum genome assembly, contig: Triticum_aestivum_CS42_TGACv1_scaffold_194823_3AL